rnacentral:rRNA from 1 species
GCUGGGUUCAGAACGUCGUGAGACAGUUCGGUCCAUAUCCGGUGUAGGCGUUAGAAUAUUGAGAGGGGUUCUUCCUAGUACGAGAGGACCGGAAGGAACGCACCGCUAGUGUACCAGUUAUUGUGCCAACGGUAAACGCUGGGUAGCUAUGUGCGGCAAGAAUAACUGCUGAAAGCAUCUAAGUAGGAAGUCUUCCUCAAGAUGAGUAUUCUCUCCAUUUUAAAUGGGUAAGGUCACGGUAAGACUAACCGUUUUAUAGGUACCAAGUAUAAGUGCAGCAAUGUAUUCAGCUGAGGUAUACUAACAGACCGA